rnacentral:lncRNA from 1 species
AAAAGUAGCUAACAGAGACACCAAGAUGAUGUCACCUGUGGCAAAAUCUACUGCCUGUGAAACCUUACACAGAGUUAUUGAAAUAUAUAUCUACCUUCAAACUAUGCUCCAGGAAGAACGUGCUGAGCCUGGGGAGCUGGAGAGGGAGAGAGGCCAUUAUGGCCAUCACAAUACCAUCAACAUGUCACAGUAGCCAGGUCCCUCUGCCAAGUACUCAUAUCUCUGCUUGGCUGAACACCAGCCUAGGCUAAGGUACAGUUAGAAAGAAUAGCAGUUUCAUUGGAAGGAACUGACAGAAAACAACCCUUCAUGUGAGCUUCACUGGGAGAAAGACUCUGGAUGACAGGCCUUCAUGAUUGGAAUUUGAAGUGGCAGAACAUUAGGCCUGGAGACCCCGUCUUGCAAUGCUCAUUGAGAAUGUGGUCUAAGCUGGAUGCCCAGAUUUCUAAAAUGCUGAGGUUGCCCUCAAGCAGUUCAUGUCCCACUGGAAUAAACAGAUAGACACUUGUAAGAUAGUGUGGCAGGGGCUGGAGAGGUGGCUCAUUAGAGCAAUUUCCUAAGUGGACAAAAGAUAAAUGAUGUGGAAGCAGAGCCAUGCCUUCUCAAAGAACCCCAGGGGCGACAUCACCACUCACAAAAGAGCUGGCUUUUCUCCUUUGGUUAAGGCUCUCAGCCAAAACAUCACAGAGGAAAUCCCCAGACAUAGGAAAGUUGAGCUUGUUCCUGCACAGCCUGCUUUACUGAUAACGUGUGUGGUUAUGGUGGGAACUGAGACACCACUCCCUGACUUGAGACCUCGAGCACAUUUUCCAUCCUCUGCCAGUAACAGGCAAGUUUUGGCUGGGGCGAAUGUUAUCCGAUCCGAGCUGAGACUGUAGUCAAGGACAUAGCAGAAAGAAGAGGGAAGAGAAGCCAGGAGGAAAUCUGGACAGCUCUGACACGGAGGACGGAGUCCUGGUGUCAGCCGCCCCAAGCCGAGAACUCGAGUCUCAUGGUUAGUUGGUAGAGACAGUAAAGAGAAACUAUCAAAGCUGUCCAAGACGUGACUGAGCGACCCAACACGCUUCUCAGAUGGAACUUGGGAAAUGGUGUCUCAAGGGAUCCACACAGCCUGUGAGAACUGUAACUACACACCAUCACUUUGUUCUGUGAGCAGUCCAAGGACACUGAGGAUGCUGGCUUGAGGAAACCUGCCCGAGCCCUCAGGAAGCAAUAGCUGAAACGGCUAACCCACCAUCUCUCCGUUGCCAAAGGCUGCCUGCCCAGCACUUCCACAGCAGUCUAGCUGCUCCACAGUAGCAUUAAGAACCCAAAGUCUUCUCAAAACAGGCAAGGGGCUGGGUGUUGUUCCCUCAAAGUAGCUGCUGACCCCAUCUUACUGACCAACAAUGGAAAACAGCAAGGGGAGCUAUUCAGGGAGAAGGUCUGUAUUUACCUUUAUGCUGAAUCCUACAAUGCUUUUUUAAAAGGGUUGUCAAGAAGUAGACUCAUACCCAAGAAUAUCCAUCGGGGCACUUCAGCACCUAUCAUAACGGUGAAGAAUAGGCCAGGGAGGAUGGCAGGAGCUGGUGGGAAUGCAGAGAAGCCUCACAGGCACGGCCCAGAACAUCGAGGCUUUUCUCAGAGGGCACGAACUGGCAAUUUCGGUGCAAGUCUGAGACAGGGAUGGGAGAGAAUGAAGAAGAUAAAGGAACAGAAUCUCAAGUCCCACCAGGAGAGUACAAGGCAUAUGAUAUCCUGACCUUGGCCAUUUGACCUAUCCAGAUACAUGGGACACAAACCAACAGGAUAUCCUUCUGCCACUACUACUGUGGCAAACCUAGGUGACGUGUGAUUUACAGAUUGUGUGGAGAAGACACGUUCCCUUUUCUGGUUCUUCUGUUCUGCUGCCCUUGGACAUCUGCUGAGGCUGUGCAUAAUGACUAAGAUGGUGUGGAGGGGUCCGUUCACCUAUGGAGACCAGAAAGCAAAAGAGAGACAGAGGACACUUUUCAAGCUUUUCGUAUCAUUUAAAUAAAUGUUUAAAACUGUGUGUGAAUCUUGUGACUGGCCAUGGCCUCAGGAUUGGGACACCUGCAGAGUGGGGAGGGGGACCUUGUGCACAUAGAAAAACACUGGAGAAGCCAGGAAAGUUACACACACAGCUUACCUCUUCAGUGGACUGGAAGGCCAGGAGUGGUGGAAUCAGCCUGUGGUCCUUUGCUGUCUGGCUGAUGGACCCCCAUUUGUUUCAGUUUUAAGGUCUCAGUAAUCUGAAAGCUGCUGGAAACAUCGGGCUCCCAGCAGUGAAGAGAUGCUGGCCUCCUGGGUACAGACCAAGUUUCCAUUUCUGUGAAAACGAUGGUGUGAUCCCUGGAGCUGUAGCAGCUUGCUUGAGGCAGCCCUCCCAUUAACCAGAAAGUACCAGGAGACUGCGGUGAUAAGGAGACCCACCACCAACUGCUUCCUUCUAGCCUUGAGAGAUGAAAAGGCUUCCUGAAGCAUCUGAUGCCCACGAGCCGAGCCGAGCCGCGGGACCCAGUUGCUGUGGGAGAAGAAAGGGUGAUGUGGGCAUGGCUCUAGUGUUUUCCUGAAGACAGCACUAAAACAAACCGAACAAAACAAACAAACUAAACUAAAAACCUAUAGCAAUCUUAAAAGCCAAGACAGAGCUAAAUGACAAGGCAGUGUUUGGUUUCAGGCCCCGGUACAAGGGACUGAGGUGCACAGUUAACACAGCAAAGCAGAUCAGGCCUCUAGGCCCACCUAGCAUCCCUCAGUCCCCGUGUGCCUUACCUGGACCCCAACCCUAAACUUUCCAGCCCAGGGGCUGGGAUGCCCUUCCCCCAGGGGCUCCUCCCUAUAUAAUCCCCUCCUAGAGGCUCUUCCCCCUAAUCCAGACAUUUUGUGCUCUCUCUCUCUCUCUCUCUCUCUCUCUCUCUCUCUCUCUCUCUCUCUUUCUCUCUCUCUCUCUCCCUCCCUCUCUCCCUCCCUCCCUCCCUGUCUCCCUCUCCCUGUUGCUCCUUCUCUCCCUCCCUCUCUCUCUCUCCCUUCCCAUGGAGACAUCCCUGGCCUCCUUUCUUGGUACCAGUGAACUCACCCAAGAGCAGCUUCCCACUAAACCUACGUUUAGUAUAAUCUAAUCUGGUUUGAAUUGUCUCAUUUCAUCAUUGGAGAAAUAACCUAUCAGGAAGCAUGGAAGAAAAAAACUAAACAAAACUAGAGGCCUCAAGAAUUUUAUUCUUUUUAAAGGAAAACUGAGACAUCAAUGCUUCCAAAUGAACAUACCUGCAGCCUCUUCAAGAACAGCUGGGUGGCUGACGUUGUCUGUCAGGAAUAUGGCCUUGGAGUUUCUCACUUGUCAGAACCUUGGGGAUUUUAGAACCUUGGAUUUAUUUUUACCUCAUGAAUACCUUCUGUGUGGUAUGGUAGAGUGAAGUUGUGGAGACACUAGUCACUUUACUUCUUUGUGAUCUUUCCUAGAGAAAGCAGCAUGGUGGAGAAGGAAGGUGGCUGGAUAUCUUCCAGGGCAGAGUUCAAGUCCUGGUUCCUGACACCAUCGCCAACAUCCCUCUAUUUGUCCUAGAGGGGCAAUCACUCUCAUAGCCUUUGAAGGAGAAAGUAAAUCACACACACCCAGUGGAGCGGCAGGCAUCCUGUUUGGUCAAGGUCCCAAACCUCACACACAGUCUCUCUCAAAGCUCCUGAUCCUCAGCCUGGAGAGUAAUUGAACCAAAGCCAGGCUCAUUCAUUGACAUGUUAUUGACAUGUUAUUGACAGCUGCUUCUCCAAGACAAAGGCAACAGUACCUGCAGUAAAGAUUAUGUGAACUGGGCCUGAGCAGAUGGAUCAACAGUUAAGAACACUUGCUGCUCUUCCGGAGGACCUGAACUCUGUCCCCAGCCACCCAUGUCAGCAGCUCACUGCCACUUGUAAUUCAAGUCCAAGAGAUUGGAUACCUUCUUUUCACCUCUUUGGGCAAAACCAUGCCUGGGCCCAGCAGAAGAGAAGGAAAAAGGAAGACAGAAUGAGACAAAGGAAAAGAAAAGAAAAAAGAAAAGAAAAGGAAAGAAAAGAAAAGAAAAGGAGGAGAGUAUCAUUUCUUUUAAAGUAAAAAGAAAUGAAAGGGGUGUUGGUAGAUUGCUGCUCUUUGAUUCUAAAUCAAAACAAAAGCAAAAACCUAGACUAAACACAUUAAAUGUUUCUUUACUCUGACCUCCCAGAAGUUUUUGCUGUCCCAUGCUAACACUAACCACCCAAGAGUCAAUACAGAACUCACUUUCAAAUGUACAUGACAAGGAAGUUCCUCCAUGGCAAGUCGCUGCUUGGGACUAGCUUCCCCCACAAGUUACUUAAAACAAAACCAACUAACAAACGGAAAACUCAUUAUUUAGGGACAGCAGCACAUGCACGUUGAGAUCCAAGAACGCCUUCUCAUAGUAAAUUUUCUCCUUCCAUCUCAAGGGGUCAGGGAUUGUGAGCUCAGGUUGGCUAGAAGUGCCUUUACUGACUGAGCCGUCUCGUCAGCCUCUACCCUCCACUUAGAUUCUUUUGGAAACCAGUGGCUUAUGCAACCUUUAAGCAGGGGUGAGGGUGUUGGGAGGAUGGGAACUGAACAUGGGGGUGGGGGGACAACUAGAAUAGCUGCUGAAGGAAUGACCUGAUAGAACAAAGUCAAAACAAGCACAAUAAAAAACAAUUGAAUUAUCCAUUAUCACGUCUUAACUGGUUGCUUCAAGGAUCUUAAAAGCAAGAAAUGCCACCAGCCCAAUAGCU